UACGUAGGGGGCUAGCGUUGUUCGGAAUUACUGGGCGUAAAGCGCGUGUAGGCGGUUUUGUAAGUCAGAAGUGAAAGCCCUCGGCUCAACCGAGGAAUUGCUUUUGAAACUACAAAACUUGAGUAUGGGCGGGGAGAGCAGAAUUCCCGGUGUAGCGGUGAAAUGCGUAGAUAUCGGGAAGAAUACCGGUGGCGAAGGCGGCUCUCUGGACCAUCACUGACGCUGAGACGCGAAAGCGUGGGGAGCAAACAGG
rnacentral:rRNA from 1 species